AGUGCAUGUGGCGGAUGCCUUGGCGAUCACAGGCGAAGAAAGACGCGGCAGCCUGCGAAAAGCUGCGGGGAGCUGGCAAACGAGCUUUGAUCCGCAGAUAUCUGAAUGGGGGAACCCACACCGCAAGGUGUAUCCGUAGCUCAAUACAUAGGUUACGGAGGCGAACGAGGAGAACUGAAACAUCUAAGUAUCCUCAGGAAAAGAAAUCAACCGAGAUUCCGGCAGUAGCGGCGAGCGAACCCGGAGGAGCCUAGCUUUUGAUAGUACGAACUUUAGCCGAAAGGUCCUGGAAAGGCCUGCUAUAGUGGGUGAUAGCCCCGUAGGCGAAAGAGUUGGUACGGUACUAAGGAAGCGAGAAGUAGAGCGGGACACGUGGAAUCCUGUUCGAAGACGGGGGGACCAUCCUCCAAGGCUAAAUACUCGUGAUCGACCGAUAGUGAACCAGUACCGUGAGGGAAAGGCGAAAAGAACCCCGGGAGGGGAGUGAAAUAGAACCUGAAACCGCAUGCAUACAAACAGUAGGAGCCUCGUCAGAGGUGACUGCGUACCUUUUGCAUAAUGGGUCAGCGACUUACAUUCUGUGGCGAGCUUAACCGAAUAGGGGAGGCGCAGCGAAAGCGAGUUCGAAAUGAGCGUCCAGUCGCAGGGUGUAGACCCGAAACCAGAUGAGCUAUCCAUGGCCAGGUUGAAGGUGUGGUAACACACACUGGAGGACCGAACCGACUAGUGUUGCAAAAUUAGCGGAUGAGCUGUGGAUAGGGGUGAAAGGCCAAACAAAUCUGGAGAUAGCUGGUUCUCCCCGAAAACUAUUGAGGUAGUGCCUCGUGUGUCGCUCCAGGGGGUAGAGCACUGUUUUGGCUAGGGGGACAUGGAGUCUUACCAAACCAAGGCAAACUCCGAAUACCUGGAAGCGUAAGCACGGGAGACAGAGCACCGGGUGCUAACGUCCGGACUCAAAAGGGAAACAACCCAGACCGCCGGCUAAGGUCCCAAAUAACAGCUAAGUGGAAAACGAAGUGGAAAGGCCGUGACAACCAGGAAGUUGGCUUAGAAGCAGCCAUCCUUCAAAGAAAGCGUAAUAGCUCACUGGUCGAGUCCUUCUGCGCGGAAGAUGUAACGGGGCUAAGCUGUUAACCGAAGCCGCGGAUGCGCUGGUUAUCCAGUGCGUGGUAGGGGAGCGUUCUGUAAGUCUGCGAAGGCGGUUCGAGAGGACUGCUGGAGAUAUCAGAAGUGCGAAUGCUGACAUGAGUAACGUUAAAGCAGGUGAAAAGCCUGCUCGCCGUAAGCCCAAGGAUUCCUGCUCUACGUUCAUCGGAGCAGGGUGAGUCGGCUCCUAAGGUCAGGCCGAAAGGCGUAGCCGAUGGGAAUCAGGUUAAUAUUCCUGAACCUGCGUCAGAUGCGAUGGGGGGACGGAGCAUGGAAGAUCAUCCGGGUGUUGGAAGUCCCGGUUGUUUAGCGUAGGAGGUCUGCAGGCAAAUCCGCAGACGCAUCUCCAAGGCAAAGACACGUGCCGCCACGGCGGCGAAGUGAUCGGAAGUGCUUCCAAGAAAAGCCUCUAAGCACCAGUCUGAUGCGGACCGUACCGCAAACCGACACUGGUGGGCGAGCUGAAUAUGCUCAGGCGCUUGAGAGAACUCGGGAGAAGGAACUCGGCAAAUUGACACCGUAACUUCGGAAGAAGGUGUGCCGUAGUACCGUGAGAGGAGAGACACCUUGAGCGGGAAACGGUCUCAGAGAAUAGGUGGCUGCGACUGUUUAUUAAAAACACAGCACUCUGCAAAGUCGAAAGACGACGUAUAGGGUGUGAUGCCUGCCCGGUGCUGGAAGAUUAAUUGAUGGGGUGAGAGCCCUUGAUCGAAGUCCCAGUAAACGGCGGCCGUAACUAUAACGGUCCUAAGGUAGCGAAAUUCCUUGUCGGGUAAGUUCCGACCUGCACGAAUGGCAUAACGAUGGCCACACUGUCUCCUCCCGAGACUCAGUGAAGUUGAAAUGUUUGUGAUGAUGCAAUCUACCCGCGGCUAGACGGAAAGACCCCAUGAACCUUUACUGCAGCUUUGCAUUGAACUGUGAACCGAUUUGUGUAGGAUAGGUGGGAGGCAGAGAAGAGGCCACGCCAGUGGUCUUGGAGCCGACCUUGAAAUACCACCCUGAUUUGUUUGCGGUUCUAACCACGG
rnacentral:rRNA from 1 species